rnacentral:lncRNA from 10 species
CCACAGAGUCACCCAGUUCAGCUCACACUCAGGUCUCAGUAUGGGGAGACUGAGCUCCACUCUCUGAUGGAAGGCGUACCAGGAGUGUGGGGCCCUGUGGAAACCAUCCCAGUACUGUUUAAGUAUUUGGAGGAGUUGCUUGGGGCUAGGUGUUUUCUUUCUACCUCUAUCUCCACUCUGAACUCUUGAGACAGAACAUUGAUUUGGGAUGUUUGCAGCUCUUCUUGGGGGGUACAUGGAUGUGUGUGAUGUGUGCUGACUUAAGCUGAGGGGACCCACCAUAUGAUUGCGUAUGUAAGUAACUACUUACCUAUGUGAAGCAGAACUUUCUUGAUAUAGUGCAAACAGAAUACACUGCAGGCAGAAUCUGGAGGCUGAUAUAACCCUGGGAAGUUGGAGCCCCCUCUUCAUCAUGGAAUUUGGGGCAUCCCUGGUCUCCUGGUGGCUGUGGACUUGCAAAUACCCAGUUGUCCACAGACCUGUUGGCAAAUGGAUGUCCCAAGCGAGGGAGAUAUGCCUGGUGGGAAGGAGGAGUCCUGUGAAGAAUAGAGCCAGCUAAACACAGCAGAGAAGCAACAGAUGACAAAAAGCAACUGUCCAGAAGGCUGGCAGAACUGGGUUUGGGCCCAUGCUACGCAAUCCAGACAUGCCUGUAGCAUCCUUUGAAGGGACUCAAGUCUGUAGGCGAAAGUGUGAGUCUAGGAGCCGGUGAAUUUGCAUCCAGAGAGGGGGGGAUCUUGGGAAACAUGGAGAUACCCCCAUUUCUACACAUUUCAGUGUAGCUAAUUCAAGAUUGAAAAAGUAAGAAUGAAGUAUAUCUGAUUUUUCCAGUAAAAAAAAAAAAACCAUCAUAGCAUGUCAUCUGAAACUGCUGCUACUACAGAGAGAUUAGCAGGAUCUCAAAGUUAGUUAAGAUUGGUGGAGGGUCUCUUUACUUACGACCACAAAGCUAUUUAAAUGCAUAUGUUCAUGACAUACAGAAAGGUUAUUUGGAACUGGUUUCAGUUGAAGGACGGCUUUUUACCUAACAGUUUAGACUCAAUAUUGUCACCUCACUCCCUUUUCUCUCUCUUCCCCAGUCUUCCUCCAUCUCUUUUCUCAUUUUCUCUGUAUUUUUCUUUCUUUCUCAGUACUCUGUCUCAUAAAAUUGUUCAAUACUUUUCCUGGAUUAUUUAAGAAGUUAAUAAAAACUCUCUGUCUUCCCUUUAGUUAUUCAAAGGCUUCUAUUAAAUCGUUGAAGGAAAUAAAAAGAAAACUGA